CGCAGUGCGGAAUACUUAAAGAUUCGGACAAUGUUAGACAAGCUGGAUGGACGUCUUGGGGUCCAUUACGUAGACAUGGAAAUGUCCAGACAUAUCUGACCCAUUCUACACCUGACGGAAUUUGGGGCGCAUUUUAUGAUAGAUAGAUAGAUAGCAACCCUUUCAACUACUCUUGUUGUACCUGUCGAUUAAAUAAUUGACAUUUAUGGACGUUUUUUCAAUAUUUUCACAGAAGAUUAGGAUUGU